GAUGAACGCUGGCGGCGUGCUUAACACAUGCAAGUCGAACGGUGAAACAGGAGCUUGCUCCUGUCGAUCAGUGGCGAACGGGUGAGUAACACGUGAGUAACCUGCCCCAGACUCUGGGAUAAGCACUGGAAACGGUGUCUAAUACCGGAUACGAGCUUCAGUCGCAUGGCUAGAAGCUGGAAAGAAUUUCGGUCUGGGAUGGACUCGCGGCCUAUCAGGAGUUGGUGAGGUAACGGCCCACCAAGCCUACGACGGGUAGCCGGCCUGAGAGGGUGACCGGCCACACUGGGACUGAGACACGGCCCAGACUCCUACGGGAGGCAGCAGUGGGGAAUAUUGCACAAUGGGCGCAAGCCUGAUGCAGCAACGCCGCGUGAGGGACGACGGCC
rnacentral:rRNA from 1 species